UUUCUCACCUGAAGCAUAUUUUAUAAUUUUAUAUUUUCUCAAAGAUUCUAAGAAAAACUGUAGCAUUUAAAAUUGUUUUAUACCAUUCUGUCCAUCUGAAUGCGGUCCUUGAACUAACAGGUAUUUCAGACAGUUACAAAAUUAUGCAUCGUGCAUUUCUUGAAAACCAUUUUACACCCUUCUGUCAGUAAACAAUUCUUAUGAUUUAUAACUAAUAUAAUUGAUGUGAAAGCUAGUAGUUUUUGUUAGGUAUAUGUGCAGGCAGGUUCUUUUUAAGGAGGAGGAUUUUGGAACUGAAUGUAGGAAAAAAAUCUUAGAUCAGAGUUUCCUCAUCUUCCUGUAACCAUAUUGCUAAGCAGCUUUGCCAGGCGUCUUGAUUCUUAAAUUAUUUGUUGUGGGUUAGUGCUUGCUUAUCUUUUUUUGCUAUCUCUUGCCUACUCAAGAGCUUGCAUGUGAACUUCUCUUUCUGUUUGUUUUAGAACUCUUAAACCACUGGAAUAUUACAGGUUUUUGCACAUUACUCAUUGUUGAUCCUACUGCUGAGGAAGAUGAUUUAGCAACUGGAACAGUAACCACUGUCACUGAUGAAGAAGGCAGACUAUGUUCUGUCCAUAAACCAGGUGGAAGUCUUCUUACAGAAGCCAAGCUUCAGGACUGUAUCACCAGAGCAAUUACAAGACACAAAGAAGUAAAGAAGGUGAUUGACAAAGUAAUAAGUAUAAUGCCCGAGUGAACAAAAGGAGAGAUCUUUUAAAAAAUGGAUUUGUAAAAAUGUAUUUGUUACAGUGUUCACAAACCUUUUAUACUAAAUAAACAAAUACCAAUACAACCUUUAC